rnacentral:lncRNA from 1 species
GGGUCUGGCCAGCGGCCGCACAGGAAGCGUGUAGGAAGCGUGGCGCCUCAGCCACAAUCGUAAUCACCUUUAAUCUCUUGCUCAAAAUAACCCAAAGUCAAGGCUGACCCUCGGUCUAUCUUGAGGCCCUCGGCUGCCCCCGACUUGAAGAUUCUCCCCCGUUGCGUCUAAGUGGCUGCUCCAAGUUCCCGUCCCCGCUGGCAUCUCCCUGCCUCACCAUCCGCCACAUUCCUACACCAAAAGUUGACGCCGCAUUCUGGACUCCUCUCUUUCCUCCCCCCACACCUGGUCCAACUCCAGCAGCAUCUAAUCCACCUGCAGAAGCAUCUGGAAUCACUCCACUCCCACCACGACCGCCCAAACCCACCUCCAGCGGGGACGACGCCCAAGGUACCACCUGGUCUCCUGGCACCCACAAUCCAUUCUCCCUCCACAGCCAGAGGGAGCCUCGCUAACCACCAAGGCGGUCCUGCGGCCCCGCGCAGCCCUGAGGGCGUCCAGUCCUCCACGCGUGGAGGAGAAUCCGGCCUCCAGACACAAUCUCCAGGGCCCACUGGAUGGGCCUCCGCUCCUUCUCACUCCCAGUCCUCUGGUGCAUGCCCCCUUCCUGGCUGAAGAACCUGCACCAGCCGCCCCUCCGCCUGGGAAGCUCCCUCCUGUCAUUCACUCCGAGACGCAGCAGCGUUGCCCCAAGAGCCCUCCCUGCUCUGCACCCCGAAUUCACUCUCAGCCCCCACCUAGUUUAAAUCCUGGCCCUUCUCUCUCCCUGAUGUUCUGCUUGGUUAUUUACUUUUAAUUCAUGUUGGAGCUCCUCCUGCCACUGCAAGAGCAGGAGCUGUGUGUCCUGGUCACUGCUGUGGCAUCCCAGGGCCGGCGCGGUGCCCAGCAGCCAGGACUGGACAGACUCGGGCCACGCUGCGCACGGGCUGGGAUGCGCUGGCUCUGCUUCCUCUUCCGUUGAAUGGGAGUAAAGACCACUCCUCCCAGGGAGCUUGUGGUUUCUCACAAAC